rnacentral:tRNA from 1 species
GGAAGGUUCCGGCCCGCGGGGGCCAGCCGGUCUUGAAAACCGGAGGGACGUCAUGGCGUUGGGGUUCGACUCCUCAACCUUCCG